GACGAACGCUGGCGGCGUGCCUAACACAUGCAAGUCGAACGGAGAAUUAGCAAUAAUUCUUAGUGGCGAACGGGUGAGUAACGCGUAGACAACCUACCCUUUAGAUGGGGACAACACCGCGAAAGUGGUGCUAAUACCGAAUAUUGCUUGAGAAGCGCAUGCUUUUCAAACUAAAGAUGGCCUCUAUAUAUAAGCUAUCGCUAAAGAAUGGGUCUGCGUCUGAUUAGCUAGUUGGUGAGAUAAAAGCUCACCAAGGCAACGAUCAGUAGCCGGUCUGAGAGGAUGAACGGCCACACUGGGACUGAGACACGGCCCAGACUCCUACGGGAGGCAGCAGUGGGGAAUCUUCCGCAAUGGACGAAAGUCUGACGGAGCAACGCCGCGUGAGUGAUGAAGGUUUUCGGAUCGUAAAACUCUGUUGUUAAGGACGAAUGUAUAGAUUGUGAAUAAUGGUUUAUAAUGACGGUACUUAACGAGGAAGCCACGGCUAACUACGUG
rnacentral:rRNA from 1 species